AGUUAGUCCUGACCUGAGUAAGGCCCCAGGUAUCGAAGGGCUCUCGCUGAAGACUUACUUCCACGUCCUCUCUGACGGAUUUAUUCUGAGUAAGCAGCCCGAUCAAUUUGAGGAUUGAUGCCCGGUGUGAGAAGUCCUGCCUUACGAAUGGAAUUUCAAGACAAAUGAACUCAUCAUGAUCUUGCAGACGUGAGGCUAUUAAGAUGUUUUCUGUAGACCUAGAAGAUGUGAAGAGGCCUUGUCAUUGUGCUUGUUGAUCCAGAAGUGAAUUUUGUAUAAGAGUGAAUGGUUGCUGUGGUCACUAUUGAUGAAGAAACAGAUGCCACUAAACCACUGUGGGCUGGCUCAUCCUGGACUUUGACAUCUGGGUUGUUGUGUGAAAUACUUUGUUCUUUGAAUG
ensembl:lncRNA